CCUACGGGAGGCAGCAGUCGGGAAUAUUGCGCAAUGGAGGAAACUCUGACGCAGUGACGCCGCGUAUAGGAAGAAGGUCUUCGGAUUGUAAACUAUUGUCGUUAGGGAAGAAAAAGGACAGUACCUAAGGAGGAAGCUCCGGCUAACUACGUGCCAGCAGCCGCGGUAAUACGUAGGGAGCAAGCGUUAUCCGGAUUUACUGGGUGUAAAGGGAGCGUAGACGGCAGCGCAAGUCUGAAGUGAAAUCCCAUGGCUUAACCAUGGAACUGCUUUGGAAACUGUGCAGCUGGAGUGCAGGAGAGGUAAGCGGAAUUCCUAGUGUAGCGGUGAAAUGCGUAGAGAUUAGGAGGAACACCAGUGGCGAAGGCGGCUUACUGGACUGUAACUGACGUUGAGGCUCGAAAGCGUGGGGAGCAAACAGGAUUAGAUACCCUAGUAGUC
rnacentral:rRNA from 1 species